CCUAGCAGCUCUUUUCAGAGGAGGUCAGCUAUGAGCAUGCUGCAUGCCUGUCGGUGUUGCCUGUGAUGGAUCUAUAAUCAGAUUCUUGUAAACAGAUUAAGUCAUCAUUUGGCUCGGGACCCAGCAGCCAAAGGGAAUUCAGCUGCAGCAGUGACAGAGUGAGAAAUAGCUCAGUGAGUGCAGCUCACAGGAGGAGACUCAGACUCAGCUAUAGGGUACCGCCCUACUUGCACUCCUGCUUGUGACCCCAGAAAAACCUCUUGGUGGGGUUUAAAGAACUGGUCGCAUGCCCAGGCUGUUGUUGGAGUUCAGGUGAUCUCAGGUAAAUCCAGCCCUAAUUCCACACCUGUGGAGAGACUUUGUGUGAAGAUGCAGAAUGAGUGCAGUAUGAUGGAAGGUGGGGCUCUCACCUGCCUAGUGGAUGAGAGUGAAGAACAUAGGCUGGACCAUGUCUGGGAGAUAUACGACUGCAUGGAAGCUCCUAUCUUCCAGCCACAAGGAAAGGGAGUGUGUGAAAAGGCCCUGCAACCAGUGGGCUGAAGUAGUCACCAUAAAGCAGCUUGGCAGCUGCUCCAUGGCCCAUCUUCCCACCUCUACAAUGUGCCUGCCACUAAGAUGAGAAAGGACACAACAAACAAUAUGCUUUAAUUUGUCUCAAGGUUUAAGGGGAUUCCAGUAUUUAAAAGUUCCUUAUUCCUAUUCAUGAAUGCACAUUAUUAGAGUUAUAUGUAUGCAUACAUGGAAGGGGAAAUAGAUCACAAAGAGUUAAAAAGAAGAGUGUGGUAUUCUCUAUUUCUUCAGCCUGGAGUACAACCAACAUUUCUGCUGUCACCCAGAAUAGCAGAUGUUCUGAAAAAGAAGAAGAAAAAAAGGAAAAGUUAUAAAAUUGACAAAGAUCAGGACACUCCUCAAUGUACUGACCUGCUGCCAAACUACUUCUCAGUUUGUUAAUGUGCAGUUAGAAUAGACCCAUAAAAUGCACAAUAAACAGCUAGUGAAAAACUCAGGGUUAGAUAAGUUUUGUUUAUGUUAUUUUAGGAAGAAAGAAGACCUGCAUCUUAAAAAGAAGUAUCAGUUCAAGGGAAGAAAUUUGUACUUAGGUUUAAAAGGAAAUUGAAUUA